AAUAAACGCUGGCGGCAUGCUUUACACAUGCAAGUCGAACGGUAACAGGUUAAGCUGACGAGUGGCGAACGGGUGAGUAAUGCAUCGGAACGUGCCCGAUCGUGGGGGAUAACGCAGCGAAAGCUGCGCUAAUACCGCAUACGAUCUGAGGAUGAAGGCGGGGGACCGUAAGGCCUCGCGCGAUCGGAGCGGCCGAUGUCAGAUUAGGUAGUUGGUGGGGUAAAGGCUCACCUAGCCAACGAUCUGUAGCUGGUCUGAGAGGACGACCAGCCACACUGGGACUGGGACACGGCCCAGACUCCUACGGGAGGCAGCAGUGGGGAAUUUUGGACAAUGGGCGAAAGCCUGAUCCAGCAAUGCCGCGUGCAGGAAGAAGGCCUUCGGGUUGUAAACUGCUUUUGUACGGAGCGAAAAGGCUCUCUCUAAUACAGGGGGCUCGUGACGGUACCGUAAGAAUAAGCACCGGCUAACUACGUGCCAGCAGCCGCAGUAAGAC
rnacentral:rRNA from 1 species